rnacentral:misc_RNA from 1 species
CGAGUGAGGGUUUCUCUGAAGCCCAACCUCCCACCCGUGUAUACCGUACCCUGUUGCUUCGGCGGGCCCGCCUCACGGCCGCCGGGGGACCUCGCGUCCCCGGGCCCGCGCCCGCCGAAGACCCCAACACGAACACUGUCUGAAAAGUGCAGUCUGAGUCGAUUGUUACCAAUCAGUCAAAACUUUCAACAAUGGAUCUCUUGGUUCCGGCAUCGAUGAAGAACGCAGCGAAAUGCGAUAACUAAUGUGAAUUGCAGAAUUCAGUGAAUCAUCGAGUCUUUGAACGCACAUUGCGCCCCCUGGUAUUCCGGGGGGCAUGCCUGUCCGAGCGUCAUUGCUGCCCUCAAGCACGGCUUGUGUGUUGGGCCCCGUCCCCGGUACCCCCGGGGACGGGCCCGAAAGGCAGCGGCGGCACCGCGUCCGGUCCUCGAGCGUAUGGGGCUUUGUCACCCGCUCUGCAGGCCCGGCCGGCGCCAGCCGACCAACCCAACCAUUUUUUACAGGUUGACCUCGGAUCAGGUAGGGAUACCCGCUGAACUUAAGCAUAUCAAUAAGCGGAGGAAAAGAAACCAACCGGGAUUGCCUCAGUAACGGCGAGUGAAGCGGCAAGAGCUCAAAUUUGAAAGCUGGCUCCUUCGGGGUCCGCAUUGUAAUUUGCA